GAUGAACGCUAGCGGGAGGCCUAACACAUGCAAGCCGAGCGGUAGAGUCUCUUCGGAGACUUGAGAGCGGCGCACGGGUGCGGAACACGUGUGCAACCUGCCUUUAUCUGGGGGAUAGCCUUUCGAAGGGAAGAUUAAUACCCCAUAAUAUACUGGAUGGCAUCAUCUGGUAUUGAAAACUCCGGUGGAUAGAGAUGGGGACGCGCAAGAUUAGAUAGUUGGUGAGGUAACGGCUCACCAAGUCAGGGUUCUUUAGGGGGCCUGAGAGGGGGAUUCCCCACACGGGGACCGAGACACGGACCAGACUGCUACGGGAGGGAGCAGUGAGGAAUAUUGAACAAUGGGUGAGAGCCUGAUCCAGCCAUCCCGCGUGAAGGACGACGGCGCGAUGGGUUGUAAACUUCUUUUGGAUAGGGAUAAACCUAGAUACGUGUACCUAGCUGAAGGUACUAUACGAAUAAGCACCGGCUAACUCCGUG
rnacentral:rRNA from 1 species